AUGUUCAAGCUGGUUUUAGAAAAGGCAGAGGAACCAGAGAUCAAAUUGCCAACAUCCACUGAAUCAUCGAAAAAGCAAGAGGGUUCCAGAAAAACAUCUCUUUCUGCUUUAUUGACUAUGACAAAGCCUUUGACUGUGUGGAUCAUAAGAAACUGGAAAAUUCUGAAAGAGAUGGGAAUACCAGACCACCUGACCUGCCUCUUGAGAAACCUGUAUGCAGGUCAGGAAGCAACAAUUAGAACUGGACAUGAAACAAUAGACUGGUUGCAAAUAAGAAAAGGAGUACAUCAAGGCUGUGUAUUGUCACCCUGCUUAUUUAAAUUCUAUGCAGAGUACAUCAUGAGAAACGCUGGGCUGGAAGAAGCACAAGCUGGAAUUAAGAUUGCCGGGAGAAAUAUCAAUAACCUCAGAUAUGCAGAUGACACCACCCUUAUGGCAGAAAGUGAAGAAGAACUAAAGAGCCUCUUGAGGAAAGUGAAAGAGGAGAGUGAAAAAGUUGGCUUAAAGCUCAACGUUCAGAAAACUAAGAUCAUGGCACCUGGUCCCGUCACGUCAUGGCUAAUAGAUGGGGAAACAGUGGAAACAGUGUCAGACUUUAUUUUGGGGGGCUCCAAAAUCACUGCAGAUGGUGACUGCAGCCAUGAAAUUAAAAAAAGAUUACUCCUUGGAAGGAAAGUUAUGACCAACCUAGACAGCAUAUUAAAAAGCAGAGACAUUACUUUGUCAACAAAGGUCUGUCUAGUCAAGGCUAUGGUUUUUCCAGGAGUCAUGUAUGGAUGUGAGAGUUGGGCUAUAAGGAAAGCUGAACGCCAAAGAACUGAUGCUUUUGAACUGUGGUGUUGGAGAAGACUCUUGAGAGUCCUUUGGACUGCAAGGAGAUCCAACAAGUCCAUCCUAAAGGAGAUCAGUCCUGGGUUUUCAUUGGAAGGACUGAUGCUGAAGCUGAAACUCCAAUACUUUGGCCACCUGAUGCAAAGAGUUGACUCAUUUGAAAAGACCCUGAUGCUGGGAAAGAUUGAGGGCAGGUAG
rnacentral:lncRNA from 1 species